CGGCGGCGAAGAAGGCAGGCGGCUUGGGGAUCGCGGGCGCCUUCCUUACGAGGAAGACGACCCUGACAGGCGGGCCCCGCCUGUCAGCGGCUCGGUGCGGGUGCGCGCGUGAACCGGGCCGGUCGGUUCGGCUCGGGCGCGCGGAACUGGGCCGGUUCGGCCCAAUUUGGCCGGGCCGGUCUGGUUUUCCCUUUUUUUUUAGCCCUUUUCUUUUUCUGUUUUUCUCAAUUUUUUGAUAUCUUUUGAUUUUGAACUCCAAAUUCGUCCAAAUAAAUUCCAGAAAAUUUGUAAAAUCAUGUUCUACCAUGACACAACUUUUGGGAGUAGUUUCCCCUCAAAAUAAAAUAUAUAAAAAUACAUUUGCCCUAUAAAUGCCUUUAGGGAUAUAUAUCUAUUUAAAUAAAAUACUUUUUCAACUCCAAAUAAUUAUCCAAAAAUUAUGGGAUAGUUUAUAUAUGCAUUAAUCAAUUUUUUAUAAAUAAACCCUAUUGGUUUGAAAAUCCAAAGCUCAAAUGGGUGUAAACCCUAGGGUUUAAUUUGAAAUAAAAUCUUUAAAGCCUUU
rnacentral:lncRNA from 1 species